rnacentral:rRNA from 1 species
GACGAACGCUGGCGGCGUGCUUAACACAUGCAAGUCGAACGGAAAGGCCCUGCUUGCAGGGUACUCGAGUGGCGAACGGGUGAGUAACACGUGGGUGAUCUGCCCUGCACUUCGGGAUAAGCCUGGGAAACUGGGUCUAAUACCGGAUAGGAGCCAUUUUUAGUGUGAUGGUUGGAAAGUUUUUUCGGUGUAGGAUGAGCUCGCGGCCUAUCAGCUUGUUGGUGGGGUAAUGGCCUACCAAGGCGGCGACGGGUAGCCGGCCUGAGAGGGUGGACGGCCACAUUGGGACUGAGAUACGGCCCAGACUCCUACGGGAGGCAGCAGUGGGGAAUAUUGCACAAUGGGCGCCAGCCUGAUGCAGCGACGCCGCGUGGGGUAUGACGGCCUUCGGGUUGUAAACUCCUUUCGCUAGGGACGAAGCUUUUUGUGACGGUACCUAGAGAAGAAGCACCGGCUAACUACGUG